UAUAUAAUAAUUUAACUUAUUUAAUGUGUUUGUGUUGCAUCCAUAUCAACGGUCCGGUGACUAAAGCCGAAGGCGCACUUCUGUCUCACGAACAGAAUAGAAGCCAGUAAAACAGAAAAUCCUAACGAAAAUAAAAAAACGUUGAUUCGUAUAACUUAUAAGCUAUUUUCUCGAAACACUCUUUCACUCAACAAGUUUUCGCUAUUUUCACUACUUAUUUCGUACACACUAACAAACAAUUCAAAAACUUACACCACCAAAAACAAGCAACCAACAACAGCAACAGUGAAAUAUAGACUUCGUGAAACCAAAAAAACGAAGCAGCUACUACAACUCGUUCCAACAAGCACGGCGUCCCUACGUUGUAUUCAAUACUCUGCAAUUACUUCCAAACCACACGUGUCUCUGCCCCAAUCAUCGUCGUACGACCUACAGCAAGAGACACGAACA